rnacentral:rRNA from 1 species
AACGAACGCUGGCGGCAUGCCUAACACAUGCAAGUCGAACGAGACCUUCGGGUCUAGAGGCGCACGGGUGCGUAACGCGUGGGAACCUGCCUUUAGGUUCGGAAUAACUCAGAGAAAUUUGAGCUAAUACCGGAUAAUGUCUUCGGACCAAAGAUUUAUCGCCUUUAGAUGGGCCCGCGUUGGAUUAGCUAGUUGGUGGGGUAAAGGCCUACCAAGGCGACGAUCCAUAGCUGGUCUGAGAGGAUGAUCAGCCACACUGGGACUGAGACACGGCCCAGACUCCUACGGGAGGCAGCAGUGGGGAAUAUUGGACAAUGGGCGAAAGCCUGAUCCAGCAAUGCCGCGUGAGUGAUGAAGGCCUUAGGGUUGUAAAGCUCUUUUACCCGAGAUGAUAAUGACAGUAUCGGGAGAAUAAGCUCCGGCUAACUCCGUGCCAGCCGCCGCAGUAAGAC